CUUCACACUCCAGGGGCUCCUCAGGGCGACCCUCCUGCACUCCUUCACGUUCCAGGAGCGCCUCGGGGCACCCUUCCCACUCUCUGUCACCCUCCCGGAGCUCCUCAGGGCGACCCUCCUGCCCUUCCGGGGCUCCUCAGGGCGACCCUGCCUCCCUCACCGUCCUGAGGGCUCCUCAGGGCACCUCUCCUGCCCUCGCAGGGCUCCUCUGGGUGACCCUCACGCCCUCCCUCACCCUCUCGGGGUCUCCUCAGGGCGACCUUCCCACACUCCCUCACGCUCCAAGGGCUCCUCAGGGCGACCUUCCCACACUCCCUCACGCUCCAGGGGCUCCUCAGGGCGACCCUCCCGUCCUCCCUCCCUCCCUCCCUUCCUCCCUCCUACUCCAGGGGCUCCCCAGCGCACCUCUCCCGCCCUCACGGGGCUCGUCUGGGCGUCCUUCCCGCCCCCUCACCCUGGCGCCGGGCUGCCCACGCGGUAGCCACAGCACAGCUGCUCCCCGGGGCACGGCUGCGUGAGGGGAUUGAGCUGCUUGGCCGCUCUCUGCUCUGAGGGAGCCCUUCCACUGCCCGGCGCUGUUCCCGGUCAGGAGCUGCAGGAUAGGAGGCCAAGAUUUUUCAGUCUCUGCAGGGAGAGUUGAAUUACUCUUAACUAUAUGGGCAUUGCAGAGAUGAAAGGGAAAGUGCUCCAGCUGAGAUGUCUCAGUAAUGCUCCCACACCAUCUCAAAAUGCUGGCUCUACUGGCAGUAAACCUGCAGCCUCUGUUUUUGACACACCAGUGUCACAGGUGGGGCAGAAGAUGAUGCAGAUGGUGAGAAACUCAGUCCCAGCUCCUCUGCUAAGGAGGCAUCAUUGCCUCUUCUUACAUGGAAAAACCUAUGCAAAUAAAUUCCCUGUGUGUGGAGACUCUGUUAUACUUUAGCCAUGAUUUCUGCAAAAGCCUUGAUUAGCAGGACAGCUGUACUAUGGACAGGACAGGUAAAUAUGGAGUGACAUCUGUGAGCUUUCUUCACUGCCAAAUAGCAGAUACCUGACUUGCUGCAAAGUGGGGUCUCCAUUAAAUGAGAGCAGAACGCAGGUGGGGGUCCUGAGCUGAUCUCACUUGGUUUCUAAGUGAAGCUGUCUCUCCUCUGACCCAUA